UACGUAGGGCGCAAGCGUUGUCCGGAUUUAUUGGGCGUAAAGAGCUCGUAGGCGGUUUGUCGCGUCUUCCGUGAAAACUGGGGGCUUAACUUCCAGCUUGCGGUGGAUACGGGCUGACUGGAGUGCGGCAGGGGAGACUGGAAUUCCUGGUGUAGCGGUGGAAUGCGCAGAUAUCAGGAGGAACACCGGUGGCGAAGGCGGCAUCCUGGACCGACACUGACGCUGAGGAGCGAAAGCCAGGGGAGCAAACGGG
rnacentral:rRNA from 1 species